rnacentral:rRNA from 1 species
UACAGAGGUCUCAAGCGUUGUUCGGAUUCAUUGGGCGUAAAGGGUGCGUAGGCGGCGCGGUAAGUCGGGUGUGAAAUCUUGGAGCUUAACUCCGAAACUGCAUUCGAUACUGCCGUGCUUGAGGACUGGAGAGGAGACUGGAAUUUACGGUGUAGCGGUGAAAUGCGUAGAUAUCGUAAGGAAGACCAGUGGCGGAAGGCGGGUCUCUGGAC